CUCUCCAAAGCCCUUGGGUGAGCUGGGUUCUGAUGUGUUCCCGGAGGAGAGGGAGUGAGAAGGCUGGAGAGAUGGCUGUGGUUAUUAAGAACACCUUGCAGAGGAUCAAGUUCAGUUCCUGACACCAAUGUCUGGCAAUUCACAACCACAAGGAACUCCAGCUCCAGGGAAACUGGUCUUCAUGGGAAUUUGUACUCACAGGCAUAUACCUGCCCUACACACAUGAACACAACUGAAGCUGCGUGAGCUGCAAAACUGGAACUUUGUCAGCAGAGAGCCGGUUUGGAGGAGGCGAGAAGGGAAGAAAGGUCAGGAGAGCGUGGUUGAACCUGUACAGAGCCUGUGCAGACUCCUGCUCGGAGCGAGUGGUGGCCCUCGGGCUGGCAAACAGCUGCAGCAGACACAAUUCACAGUCUAGAGAGGGGAGACAGACAGCUAGCAGACAAACCCUCAAGGGACCGGUGCAGGGCAGGGACGAUGGCUCAGUGGGUAACCCACUUGCUUCACAAGCGUGAGGAUUUCAGAACUUAGGGAGGCCGGGUUCGAGCUUGUCUGUGAUCUCAGUUUUCCUUUGAUGAGACCAAAGGCCAGCCUUUGAUGACAUACUGCAAGGCCAGCCUGGGCUACCUGGGACUGUCUCAAAGAACCAACCAAAGAAGUGCCAAAAGCAAGAAGGAAAGAAAAAAAAAUCACCUUUCCCCUGCCCCAUGGCACCCAGAGCAAGGGUGGUCAGGGGCUCCGAUCUGGAACUUUGAAUGAUGAGGGCGUGCCCCGGAGAUACAGCAUCAUUUGGAAGUGAUUGGGAUGGCUGUGGUGGAGCCUGGAGUACCGAGAGAUAAAUGUUCCCAAGCAACAGGGACCAACAUCCACUGACUUCUGGCUGCUGCGUUUCUGGGGAGAUGGUAAAAGGCAGGAUCCACAGCAUGCCAUUUUGGAGUUUGUUGCCAACGCCAUCCUCCGUACCUGAUUCUCCCUUCUGGUCUUCCUCUUGGUUCCCGGAGUUCCUGA